GAUGUUUCUUAGCAUUGAGGAAGUCUGUCUGUUGCUGCUCAGUUGUGGAGCUGCAGUUGAGCUACAGAAGAAUCUAUCUGGAGGAGGUGGAUCACCAGGAGCUGGCAUCUCAUCCAGGGUAUGUUUGGAAGAUGAACAAAAGGGUUUGAUUUGUUGAUAAACGUUACCCUCUCUCUUUGGUGCAAAGAGCAAAUGACCGAUCUCCGGCCUUCUCCCUGAAAAAUGCUUCUUCCUCACUGCUGUUGAAGUAGGAGAGAUGCAUUUCACUUCCCUACGUCUGGGUUGGGCAGUGUUGUUGGAAGCAUGAUGAUGUGUCAUCCUGUGGCAGCUUUGACUUGGCCAAUUAAGAAAAAUCAUUAGUGGGAGAGCCAACAAUGUGAGAAAAGCUUUGCCCUUGGAAAGAGGAAUUUGAUGAUUUGUCAAUGAGCACGGGAUGCAUUUGCUUUCAGGAGUGCUAGAGUCACAAGUUUGGCUUGGGAAGGAAGGCGUGUGACUCUUCCUGGCUGUGUCUCUGAUUUCACUGCAGUUCUGCUUUAUGUCUCUAGUUCAGAGAAGCUGGGUACCUGUUGGAGAAUUUUAACAGAAACAUGGAUUUUCUUAGGGGAUUUUUGUUCUAAUUGUAAUGGUUUUGAGUCAUCGUUACGCCAUUCAUACUGUAAACCAGUCAAAAUCCAAGAAGAAUCUUUUCCCACGCAUAAUUAUAUGCCUGUCCUUUUCAUUGUACUGCUUCUAUUGUCUGACUCUGCAUUGCUUGAGGGAAGUCUUCACCCAACUCUUGGAGGUGCCUGUUCUAG
ensembl:lncRNA